rnacentral:misc_RNA from 1 species
ACAGGAAUAAAACAAAAACCUUGAAUAAUAAACAACAAUAAGAAGUAACAAUAACAACUAAUAACAGUAACAUCAUAACACAACCUACCAUCCAAUCCCCAUUUGGAAACCAAAAAUACACUGUACAUAAGUCUGCUGCAUGAGCCCUUGCCAACGAAAAAUGGGGUCUGUGGCUGUAGGACCCAAAUUUUCAGGAUGGGCCAACCUUGACUGGAUGUUCCCACAAUCACUCCAGAACAGCAACCUCUUGAUCAACCCUCCAAUAAUUUGCGUCGUUGAACUCUUUAAUGCCAGCUCCUCCAUCAUCAGAAUUCUCCUUCUCCGUAACCUUUGGGAUUAUGUUCCUCUUUAAAGGCCCUGCUUCACCAACUAUACCCUCCU